UUGUGUGAAGUGGGAGAAGUGGAAGGGAGGGGCUGCUCUGCUGCUGCUCAGUGCUGGGCUUUGGUUGCAGGGCCUCUAGAUGGGACCUGCUGAGCAAAGCAGUGCUCGAGGGAGCUCAGUUUGAGCCUACAAAUACCUUCAGCUGUUACAAUUGCAGUUUAUCUAAUCUUUCAGUAUCAACUAGUACUUACCUUAAUAGUAGGAGUCAGUAACAGUAUUCAACUUAUUUUUUGGUUGCCAGUUUGCAGUACAAAACCAAGUGUGGGAUGUGCCUGUCACUUGGUAGGGACAGUUAGGUUUUUCUUCAUAGCUGAGGAGUUGAUACAGUUCAGUUUCCUUAAUCUAAUUAUUCCUUACAUUUUGCUCUAGACUUUUUCAUAAACUAAUGGAACAGGAAACUUGUACUGGAAGCUUUUGGCUAGUAGGAUUAGGUCUAACCAAGAGCUAGCUGUCUUCAUUGCAGCACUUCAGGUGAAGUCAUGAGUGGUCUCCACUAACACAGCCUUAUUUAAGCAUAGUCUGACAACGGUGCUUUUUCUCAGCAGUUGCUAAUGUGGCUGUAAAACUGUUUCUGUAGCUCCCAUCCUGGUUUGUGCAUGCAGUUGCUUUGGGAGGUGUAGAUAGGAUGGCAAAGGGAGAGUGAACUGGGGGUAGAGAGUUGUUAUUCCAGUACUACUGCAAAUAAUUGUUGUGCUACUGUAGUUUCUUUUGAUAUAGAUGACUACCGUGUCCAGAAUUUGGCUUCUGGAAUUUAAUUAUUAGGAUUCAAAACUGAGAUUGAAGCCAUAGGAAUGCUGUUUCGUUGGGUAAUAUGACCAUAACCUCAGAGAAUACCUUAACCAUUAAUUUAGGCCAAUGAAAGCGGGUUGGCUGUGUUUUCCUGGCCCGCUCAGUGGUAUUUUGUGCAGUGUAAUCAUGUUUACUUUUCUCGUAAUCAUAGCUACUAAUUUUCCAGGUGUUGGUGAAAUGUGUUUAUGCUGAUCACCAGGAUACUUGGACCUGAGCUGUGUCCAAACAACCAGAUUUCUUACAACACAAUUCCUGUGUGCUGGUAGUAAAGGGCAACAAGUAAACUGCUACUCGGUAGUUCAGCCCUUUUAUGCCAUUCAUUCAGAGCUCAUGAUGAUGAGAGAUCGACUUCACUCUUCUGCUGAGCUGAGGGUUCGUGUGUUGUGUGAGCCUUAAUAUUAAGCAAAAAGAAAAAAAAAUAGGUUGUGAAAGCAGAGGGUUUUUUUGAUCAGCAGAAACAGAACUGAUGCGUGUGCGUCUGAAUAGGUGCUCGUCAUCUUAGGCACUGCUGAAGUGCUCCAUUUUGUUAAGCUGGUGAUGUGCACUGCGUGUUGCACUUCAGCACUCUUACAGCAAGGCUGUGUGUGGGGAGUGCUGCAAACUGCCAGCAUAAAGCUGCUGCUGCGCUCAUCCCCGUGAAGAAUUUCCUGUUUGGGAGAGCUGUCAUCGCAGGUCAGCUCUCAUCUUGCCCUCCAGUGGGAAGCAGAAUGGGCUGGAAUUCGGUUUGGAAUUUGUUAGUCGAGGAGGACAAAGGGGGAAGGAGGGGAAAGAGCAGGGGAAGCAGAAUAUGCUCAGAAAGCCCGGUUUCUCGUUUCUGAGAGCAAAUAAUAAUCUGCAGAGAGAUGUGACAGCUUACACUAAUUCCACACAAGAAAGAAGGAAGUGGAAAAAUCAUUUUUAGGGCUGUGUUGCAGCUGGCCAGUUCAGUGCUGGUGCAGCUGUGAUGUGCUGAGGAUUUGAGGCGAGCUUUGCAAGGAAAAGCAGAUCUCAGUGAUUGCUUGAUCUCAUAAGCAUUGACUUUCUGCAAGCCUUGCAGUAAAGAUUGAGCGCAGGCAGCCUGUGAGUGCCAGGCGGGACGCGGCGCGCUCCGACUGCCGCAGCCCAGGUCUCUGUUCCGGAAGCACUCAUUACCUGCUGUCCUGACCUCAGAAGCCAGGCUGGUGUGGAAUGUGAAUAUUUGUGUGACAAUAACAUGGAAAUGUGAUAUACGAUGAUUUUUAAUGGCUGGAAAGAGGGAUGGAGAAUCGUGAAGGAAGAAUUGAAGCAGAAUAACUGAAAUCCAUCAUGCUGAAACAGUCUUCUGCCUCAUUCCUGAAUUUGAAGGAAAAUGAGAAAUGCUUCUGUCAGCUGAACCUGUGGUGCAGUACUUCAUUUCUCCUCACCUCUUUGUUCCUUGGUAUCAGAUCUGCUUCAGCUGAGGCUGUUUUGAUGACUUUGUGCCAUAUUAGCACAUCUCUGAAUGAUGUCAAUAGCAAUUAUUGAAUAAAGCUUAAUGAUGCUCGCUGUUAGAA